GGGCUAGUAAAGGUUUCGACAGGGAUCAUGAAGCUGGAGAAGCGAGCCGCAGGGUGAUGCGUUAAAUUCCAACAUUAAAAUUAAACGCUAACGAUAAUAAAUUAGCUUACGCUGCCUAGUCAGCGUUGUCCGCUUUCUUGCACCUACUCUUGAAAGCCCGGGCAUCAAUCUAAGUAGGAAACGAUGUAUGUUAAGCUUUGCGCAUACAGGCGUAUGAUGAAGCUACUGAAGCGGUUACGGUGUUCAUACCGGAACCGUAGAGGGAAUGUCAAAGUAUGAACUACGCUCGUAGAAGGACAGGGGAUUGGUUUUUGGACACGGGUUCAAUUCCCGUCUAGUCCAUUU
rnacentral:tmRNA from 1 species